rnacentral:rRNA from 1 species
CCUACGGGACGCAGCAGUGGGGAAUAUUGCACAAUGGGGGAAACCCUGAUGCAGCAACGCCGCGUGAGUGAAGAAGUAUCUCGGUAUGUAAAGCUCUAUCAGCAGGAAAGAUAAUGACGGUACCUGACUAAGAAGCCCCGGCUAACUACGUGCCAGCAGCCGCGGUAAUACGUAGGGGGCAAGCGUUAUCCGGAUUUACUGGGUGUAAAGGGAGCGUAGACGGCAGCGCAAGUCUGGAGUGAAAUGCCGGGGCUCAACCCCGGAACUGCUUUGGAAACUGUACAGCUAGAGUGCAGGAGGGGUGG